AUUGAACGCUGGCGGCAGGCUUAACACAUGCAAGUCGAGCGGGGUGAUGGUGCUUGCACUAUCACUUAGCGUCGGACGGGUGAGUAAUGCUUAGGAAUCUGCCUAUUAGUGGGGGACAACAUCUCGAAAGGGAUGCUAAUACCGCAUACGUCCUACGGGAGAAAGCAGGGGAUCACUUGUGACCUUGCGCUAAUAGAUGAGCCUAAGUCGGAUUAGCUAGUUGGUGGGGUAAAGGCCUACCAAGGCGACGAUCUGUAGCGGGUCUGAGAGGAUGAUCCGCCACACUGGGACUGAGACACGGGCCAGACUCCUACGGGAGGCAGCAGUGGGGAAUAUUGGACAAUGGGGGGAACCCUGAUCCAGCCAUGCCGCGUGUGUGAAGAAGGCCUUAUGGUUGUAAAGCACUUUAAGCGAGGAGGAGGCUCUUUUGGUUAAUACCCAAGAUGAGUGGACGUUACUCGCAGAAUAAGCACCGGCUAACUCUGUGCCAGCAGCCGCGGUAA
rnacentral:rRNA from 1 species